rnacentral:rRNA from 1 species
UACGAAGGGUGCAAACGUUGCUCGGAAUCAUUGGGCGUAAAGCGCACGUAGGCGGCCUCGCAAGUCUGAUGUGAAAUCCCUCGGCUCAACCGAGGACGUGCAUCGGAAACUGCGGGGCUUGAGUACUAAAGAGGGUCGCGGAAUUCCCGGUGUAGAGGUGAAAUUCGUAGAUAUCGGGAGGAACACCGGUGGCGAAGGCGGCGACCUGGGUAGAUACUGACGCUGAGGUGCGAAAGCGUGGGGAGCAAACAGG